rnacentral:rRNA from 1 species
UGGGCGAAAGCCUGAUCCAGCAAUGCCAUGUGUGUGAAGAAGGCUCUAGGGUUGUAAAGCACUUUAGUUGGGGAGGAAAGCUCAUGAGUUAAUAGCUUGUGAGAAGGACGUUACCCAAAGAAUAAGGACCGGCUAACUCCGUGCCAGCAGCCGCGGUAAUACGGGGGGUCCGAGCGUUAAUCGGAAUUACUGGGCGUAAAGGGUCUGUAGGUGGUUUGUUAAGUCAGAUGUGAAAGCCCAGGGCUCAACCUUGGAACUGCAUUUGAUACUGGCAAACUAGAGUAUAGUAGAGGAAUGGGGAAUCUCUGGUGUAGCGGUGAAAUGCGUAGAGAUCAGAAGGAACACCAAUGGCGAAGGCAACAUUCUGGACUAAUACUGACACUGAGGGACGAAAGCGUGGGGAUCAAACAGGAUUAGAUACCCUGGUAGUCCACGCUGUAAACGAUGAGUACUAGCUGUUGGAGUCGGUGUAAAGGCUCUGGUGGCGUAGCUAACGCGUUAAGUACUCCCGCCUGGGGACUACGGCCGCAAGGCUAAAACUCAAGGAAUUGACGGGG